CCCGGCGGCAAUAGAACAUUGGAACCACCUGAUCCCAUACCGAAACCGAACUCAGAAGUGAAACGAUGUAUCGCCGAUGGUAGUGUGGGGUUUCCCCAUGUGAGAGUAGGUCACUGCCGGGC
rnacentral:rRNA from 1 species